ACACAUUCAUGGGGUUAAAAUAGUCUUGUUGGAGUUUUGUGGGAUUGAAUAAUUAUAGUUGUGAUAUUUGAUUCAAUAAAAAGUUGGCAGAAAAAAAGAAAAAAAAAUUGAAAAAAAAAAUAGAAAAAGAAAAGAAGGAUGUCAUUACAUAUUCCUUCUGAUUUUCUUUUGACCCUUUGAAUUUUAGCCUAGUACCCUCUUUCAAUUUUCUUUUGACCCUUUGAAUUUUAGCCUAGUACCCUCUUAGGAUUUAUCUCACCCGUAUCUUGGCCAAGUUACAACCGAAUAACAA
rnacentral:lncRNA from 1 species